rnacentral:rRNA from 1 species
AGCAGCCGCGGUAAUUCCAGCUCCAAUAGCGUAUAUUAAAGUUGUUGCAGUUAAAAAGCUCGUAGUUGAAUUUCGGGAUCAAUUUAUUGGUCGUGCUAUUGUACGUACUGGUAUUAUUGAUUCCUACCUUCUGACGAACCAUGAUGUCAUUAAUUUGGUGUCAUGGGGAAUCAGGACUGUUACUUUGAAAAAAUUAGAGUGUUUAAAGCAGGCUCACGCUUGAAUACAUUAGCAUGGAAUAACGAAAUAGGACGUUUGAUUCUAUUUUGUUGGUUUCUAGGAUCGACGUAAUGAUUAAUAGGGAUAGUUGGGGGUGCUAGUAUUCAGUGGCCAGAGGUGAAAUUCUUGGAUUCACUGAAGACUAACUUAUGCGAAAGCAUUCACCAAGGAUGUCUUCUUUAAUCAAGAACGAAAGUUGGGGGAUCGAAGACGAUCAGAUACCGUCGUAGUCUCAACUAUAAACGUUGCCGACUAGGGAUGGGUGGAAGUUGCACUUUCGACUUCAUCCGCACCUUGUGAGAAACCAAAGUGUUU